AUGGUGGCUGUGGCGAAAGAUCAAGUGGACACAAUUUACAAAGAGGCAGACAUGUAUUCGUUGAACCCAAUUGAGUUACAGAUGCGAGGGAUAUACACACAAAAUCUGUUCUCCAAGUUCCAGGUAGAGAUGAAGCUAAAGACUGCUUAUGGAUGCAACACUUUGCAAGAUGGAACCUUCAAGAUGUGGUCGCUCCGAGGCAUACUACCAAAGUAUGGGGAUAGGGACUACCAUGUGCAGGCGAACAAGGAUGAAGGGGUAUACUCAUGCACUUGCUGCAAGUUUGAUCGCGAUGGGCUAUUGUGCACACACAUACUACGAGUAAUGGAACAGAUUGGAGUCUACGAGAUACCGAGGAAGUAUAUCCUGGAUAGGUGGACAUGGGAUCCAGAAAAGGAUCUUGUUCGGCCUGAUUACCAACAGCCAACAGUUAAGAAGGGUAUGACAGAAGAAGGAAAAAAUAUCAUGAGAUAUACAUCUAUUCUGAAUGAUUUCAAGGAAGAAGCAAAAGAUGCUUGCACUACUGAUGAAGGGAUGGCAUUGGUAAGGAAACAUGUUAGUGCUUUCAGAGACGACAUGGAUGCACUAAAAAAGAGGCAGCUAAAGAAAGCAAGAAAGGACAAAGAUGAGGGAAAAGAAGCAUAA
rnacentral:rRNA from 1 species